rnacentral:tRNA from 1 species
ACUCAAAUAGUUUAAUUAAAAAUUUAAAUUUGUGGUGUUUAAGAUGUAUUUUUACUUUGGGUA